GAGUUUGAUCCUGGCUCAGAUUGAACGCUGGCGGCAGGCCUAACACAUGCAAGUCGAGCGGUAGCACAGAGAGCUUGCUCUCGGGUGACGAGCGGCGGACGGGUGAGUAAUGUCUGGGAAACUGCCUGAUGGAGGGGGAUAACUACUGGAAACGGUAGCUAAUACCGCAUAAUGUCGCAAGACCAAAGUGGGGGACCUUCGGGCCUCAUGCCAUCAGAUGUGCCCAGAUGGGAUUAGCUAGUAGGUGGGGUAACGGCUCACCUAGGCGACGAUCCCUAGCUGGUCUGAGAGGAUGACCAGCCACACUGGAACUGAGACACGGUCCAGACUCCUACGGGAGGCAGCAGUGGGGAAUAUUGCACAAUGGGCGCAAGCCUGAUGCAGCCAUGCCGCGUGUGUGAAGAAGGCCUUCGGGUUGUAAAGCACUUUCAGCGGGGAGGAAGGCGUUAAGGUUAAUAACCUUGGCGAUUGACGUUACCCGCAGAAGAAGCACCGGCUAACUCCGUGCCAGCAGCCGCGGUAAUACGGAGGGUGCAAGCGUUAAUCGGAAUUACUGGGCGUAAAGCGCACGCAGGCGGUCUGUCAAGUCGGAUGUGAAAUCCCCGGGCUCAACCUGGGAACUGCAUUCGAAACUGGCAGGCUAGAGUCUUGUAGAGGGGGGUAGAAUUCCAGGUGUAGCGGUGAAAUGCGUAGAGAUCUGGAGGAAUACCGGUGGCGAAGGCGGCCCCCUGGACAAAGACUGACGCUCAGGUGCGAAAGCGUGGGGAGCAAACAGGAUUAGAUACCCUGGUAGUCCACGCCGUAAACGAUGUCGAUUUGGAGGUUGUGCCCUUGAGGCGUGGCUUCCGGAGCUAACGCGUUAAAUCGACCGCCUGGGGAGUACGGCCGCAAGGUUAAAACUCAAAUGAAUUGACGGGGGCCCGCACAAGCGGUGGAGCAUGUGGUUUAAUUCGAUGCAACGCGAAGAACCUUACCUGGUCUUGACAUCCACAGAACUUUCCAGAGAUGGAUUGGUGCCUUCGGGAACUGUGAGACAGGUGCUGCAUGGCUGUCGUCAGCUCGUGUUGUGAAAUGUUGGGUUAAGUCCCGCAACGAGCGCAACCCUUAUCCUUUGUUGCCAGCGGUUAGGCCGGGAACUCAAAGGAGACUGCCAGUGAUAAACUGGAGGAAGGUGGGGAUGACGUCAAGUCAUCAUGGCCCUUACGACCAGGGCUACACACGUGCUACAAUGGCAUAUACAAAGAGAAGCGACCUCGCGAGAGCAAGCGGACCUCAUAAAGUAUGUCGUAGUCCGGAUUGGAGUCUGCAACUCGACUCCAUGAAGUCGGAAUCGCUAGUAAUCGUAGAUCAGAAUGCUACGGUGAAUACGUUCCCGGGCCUUGUACACACCGCCCGUCACACCAUGGGAGUGGGUUGCAAAAGAAGUAGGUAGCUUAACCUUCGGGAGGGCGCUUACCACUUUGUGAUUCAUGACUGGGGUGAAGUCGUAACAAGGUAACCGUAGGGGAACCUGCGGCUGGAUCACCUCC
rnacentral:rRNA from 1 species